CUCAUAGCGUAUAUUUAAGUUGUUGCAGUUAAAAAGCUCGUAGUUGGAUUUCGGGCCCAGGCGGCCGGUCCGCCGUUUCGGUGUGCACUGGUCGGCUCGGUCUUUCUGCCGGGGACGCGCUCCGUCUUGACUGCCGGACGCGGAGUCGGCGACGUUACUUUGAAAAAAUUAGAGUGUUCAAAGCAGGCUUACGCUCUGAAUACUAUAGCAUGGAAUAACACGAUAGGACUCCGAGCCUAUUUUGUUGGUCUUCGGGACCGGAGUAAUGAUUAAGAGGGACAGUUGGGGGCAUUCGUAUUACGGUGUCAGAGGUGAAAUUCUUGGAUUUCCGUAAGACGAACUUCUGCGAAAGCAUUUGCCAAGGAUGUUUUCAUUAAUCAAGAACGAAAGUUGGGGGCUCGAAGAUGAUCAGAUACCGUCGUAGUCUCAACCAUAAACGAUGCCGACUAGGGAUUGGAGGAUGUUAAUUCGAUGACUUCUCCAGCACCUUAAGAGAAAUCAAAGUUUUUGGGUUCCGGGGGGAGUAUGGUCGCAAGGCUGAAACUUAAAGGAAUUGACGGAAGGGCACCACCAGGCGUGGAGCCUGCGGCUUAAUUUGACUCAACACGGGGAAACUUACCAGGUCCAGACAUAGUAAGGAUUGACAGAUUGAGAGCUCUUUCUUGAUUCUAUGGG
rnacentral:rRNA from 1 species